GGAUCAGACCGGGCCCCUCUGACAGCCAACUGGCUGUGAUGUCGGACUGAUGAC
rfam:Rhizobiales bacterium 64-17 SCNpilot_cont_500_bf_scaffold_627, whole genome shotgun sequence.